CUCGCAGCGAUAGGAGCCAUCUGUAUUGAUGCACUGCCCAUGUUUACAGACAUCUGGUUCUUUGCACUCAUCCAUAUCUUAAGUAAAGGAUUAAAAAAAAGUGAAUAACAAGAUUGGUUACAGCUAGACCUAAGAGGUAUCUUUCAGUGAAUCUUCUGAAGAUCAAGAGCACUAAAAGCCAGUCUUUGCCCUGAGACAUGCCUGCCCUCCAAAUAUUCGCUUUGCUGAGAAGUUUCAAGAUUUAACGAAUAUAGUUUCUCUAAUGACACCUUUUGAUUCGCUUUAUUCUUCAAGUUCAUUGUCACGUACAAUGUUUCGUGUUUAUUAUUUAUACCUACAACUGUCUUAAGGUAUCAUUUAGUGACUAUUCACAAAAAUGUCUCAAUGAAUAUAUUAAAACUUAAUUGUCUCUGUUGUCUAUCACCUUAAAAUGUUUCUGUUAAACCUAGAUAUUUCUUUUCAUUUAUCAUUAAAUAAAUUAAUUAAAUAAAUUAAAUAAAUCCAUAAAUCAG